rnacentral:rRNA from 1 species
CACGUAGGGUCCGAGCGUUGUCCGGAGUUACUGGGCGUAAAGCGCGCGCAGGCGGUCGCGCACAUCGGCGGUGAAAGCCCCCGCUCAACGGGGAGGUCCGUCGAGAUGGCGCGACUGGAGGCAGGAGAGGCGGUGGAAUUCCGGUGUAGUGGUGAAAUGCGUAGAGAUCCGGAGGAACACCAGUGGCGAAGGCGGCCGCCGUG